rnacentral:lncRNA from 1 species
AACAGUUACCCAAGAAGCGUAAGUAAGAAAAUCUUGGUAAGAUAAGCGUUAUGUUUAAAUGUCACAGAUAUCUGGGUAAGGAUAGCAUGUACUUUCUUAGUGCUGUAGCCACAGAUAUCUGGGCCAAACAUGAUGAUGCAGGUACAAAGAGAAGAUAAGCGUUAUGUUUAAAUGUCUGAUCUCAUGUUGAUGGUGAAAAAAAUUGUACCUGUAAGGAGUGUCUCCUCCAAAUUUCUUCUCGUCAACAUCAUCACUGAGAAGCUUCAUGUAUCCACCACCGCAGUCAAG